rnacentral:rRNA from 1 species
UUAAGCGACUAAGCGUACACGGUGGAUGCCCUGGCAGUCAGAGGCGAUGAAGGACGUGCUAAUCUGCGAUAAGCGUCGGUAAGGUGAUAUGAACCGUUAUAACCGGCGAUUUCCGAAUGGGGAAACCCAGUGUGAUUCGUCACACUAUCAUUAACUGAAUCCAUAGGUUAAUGAGGCGAACCGGGGGAACUGAAACAUCUAAGUACCCCGAGGAAAAGAAAUCAACCGAGAUUCCCCCAGUAGCGGCGAGCGAACGGGGAGCAGCCCAGAGCCUGAAUCAGUGUGUGUGUUAGUGGAAGCGUCUGGAAAGGCGUGCGAUACAGGGUGACAGCCCCGUACACAAAAAUGCACAUACUGUGAGCUCGAUGAGUAGGGCGGGACACGUGGUAUCCUGUCUGAAUAUGGGGGACCAUCCUCCAAGGCUAAAUACUCCUGACUGACCGAUAGUGAACCAGUACCGUGAGGGAAAGGCGAAAAGAACCCCGGCGAGGAGAGUGAAAAAGAACCUGAAACCGUGUACGUACAAGCAGUGGGAGCACGCUUAGGCGUGUGACUGCGUACCUUUUGUAUAAUGGGUCAGCGACUUAUAUUCUGUAGCAAGGUUAACCGAAUAGGGGAGCCGAAGGGAAACCGAGUCUUAACUGGGCGUUAAGUUGCAGGGUAUAGACCCGAAACCCGGUGAUCUAGCCAUGGGCAGGUUGAAGGUUGGGUAACACUAACUGGAGGACCGAACCGACUAAUGUUGAAAAAUUAGCGGAUGACUUGUGGCUGGGGGUGAAAGGCCAAUCAAACCGGGAGAUAGCUGGUUCUCCCCGAAAGCUAUUUAGGUAGCGCCUCGUGAAUUCAUCUCCGGGGGUAGAGCACUGUUUCGGCAAGGGGGUCAUCCCGACUUACCAACCCGAUGCAAACUGCGAAUACCGGAGAAUGUUAUCACGGGAGACACACGGCGGGUGCUAACGUCCGUCGUGAAGAGGGAAACAACCCAGACCGCCAGCUAAGGUCCCAAAGUCAUGGUUAAGUGGGAAACGAUGUGGGAAGGCCCAGACAGCCAGGAUGUUGGCUUAGAAGCAGCCAUCAUUUAAAGAAAGCGUAAUAGCUCACUGGUCGAGUCGGCCUGCGCGGAAGAUGUAACGGGGCUAAAACCAUGCACCGAAGCUGCGGCAGCGACGCUUAUGCGUUGUUGGGUAGGGGAGCGUUCUGUAAGCCUGUGAAGGUGUGCUGUGAGGUAUGCUGGAGGUAUCAGAAGUGCGAAUGCUGACAUAAGUAACGAUAAAGCGGGUGAAAAGCCCGCUCGCCGGAAGACCAAGGGUUCCUGUCCAACGUUAAUCGGGGCAGGGUGAGUCGACCCCUAAGGCGAGGCCGAAAGGCGUAGUCGAUGGGAAACAGGUUAAUAUUCCUGUACUUGGUGUUACUGCGAAGGGGGGACGGAGAAGGCUAUGUUGGCCGGGCGACGGUUGUCCCGGUUUUAAGCGUGUAGGCUGGUUUUCCAGGCAAAUCCGGAAAAUCAAGGCCGAGGCGUGAUGACGAGGCACUACGGUGCUGAAGCAACAAAUGCCCUGCUUCCAGGAAAAGCCUCUAAGCAUCAGGUAACAUCAAAUCGUACCCAAACCGACACAGGUGGUCAGGUAGAGAAUACCAAGGCGCUUGAGAGAACUCGGGUGAAGGAACUAGGCAAAAUGGUGCCGUAACUUCGGGAGAAGGCACGCUGAUACGUAGGUGAAGCGACUUGCUCGUGGAGCUGAAAUCAGUCGAAGAUACCAGCUGGCUGCAACUGUUUAUUAAAAACUACAGCACUGUGCAAACACGAAAGUGGACGUAUACGGUGUGACGCCUGCCCGGUGCCGGAAGGUUAAUUGAUGGGGUUAGCGCAAGCGAAGCUCUUGAUCGAAGCCCCGGUAAACGGCGGCCGUAACUAUAACGGUCCUAAGGUAGCGAAAUUCCUUGUCGGGUAAGUUCCGACCUGCACGAAUGGCGUAAUGAUGGCCAGGCUGUCUCCACCCGAGACUCAGUGAAAUUGAACUCGCUGUGAAGAUGCAGUGUACCCGCGGCAAGACGGAAAGACCCCGUGAACCUUUACUAUAGCUUGACACUGAACAUUGAGCCUUGAUGUGUAGGAUAGGUGGGAGGCUUUGAAGUGUGGACGCCAGUCUGCAUGGAGCCGACCUUGAAAUACCACCCUUUAAUGUUUGAUGUUCUAACGUGGACCCGUGAUCCGGGUUGCGGACAGUGUCUGGUGGGUAGUUUGACUGGGGCGGUCUCCUCCUAAAGAGUAACGGAGGAGCACGAAGGUUGGCUAAUCCUGGUCGGACAUCAGGAGGUUAGUGCAAUGGCAUAAGCCAGCUUGACUGCGAGCGUGACGGCGCGAGCAGGUGCGAAAGCAGGUCAUAGUGAUCCGGUGGUUCUGAAUGGAAGGGCCAUCGCUCAACGGAUAAAAGGUACUCCGGGGAUAACAGGCUGAUACCGCCCAAGAGUUCAUAUCGACGGCGGUGUUUGGCACCUCGAUGUCGGCUCAUCACAUCCUGGGGCUGAAGUAGGUCCCAAGGGUAUGGCUGUUCGCCAUUUAAAGUGGUACGCGAGCUGGGUUUAGAACGUCGUGAGACAGUUCGGUCCCUAUCUGCCGUGGGCGCUGGAGAACUGAGGGGGGCUGCUCCUAGUACGAGAGGACCGGAGUGGACGCAUCACUGGUGUUCGGGUUGUCAUGCCAAUGGCACUGCCCGGUAGCUAAAUGCGGAAGAGAUAAGUGCUGAAAGCAUCUAAGCACGAAACUUGCCCCGAGAUGAGUUCUCCCUGACCCUUUAAGGGUCCUGAAGGAACGUUGAAGACGACGACGUUGAUAGGCCGGGUGUGUAAGCGCAGCGAUGCGUUGAGCUAACCGGUACUAAUGAACCGUGAGGCUUAACCUU